CCUUCUUUCUGGGCCUGAAAGCCUGUUAGGGAUUCCUCUUCUUCAGAAGAGGAAGGAGAGCAGGAAAGUGUUCAUAAAUCUGAAGGUAAAUCUACUGUGAAAGUUAUGAGCCAAGCCCAGCUCACUGACUUCAAACGGAAUUGGAGGUACCUGUAGAGAGUUACCCUGGCAGACGAGCUUUCACUAAAGCCAGCAGAGCAGAGGCAUUUAACAAAAGAAGGUGUAUUCCAAGGAAACUUUUUCCAGAUUCGGGCAAAGACAGGAUGCUUUAAAAGGAAAGAAGGAGAUGAUGAGGAUCAUGGUGGUGGUGGUGGUGAGGAUCUUUAAUUUCCAGUGAGCACAGGAUGGGAAAGUUUCCAUUUCUCAUAG